UGGGGAAUUUUGGACAAUGGGGGCAACCCUGAUCCAGCAAUGCCGCGUGAGUGAAGAAGGCCUUCGGGUUGUAAAGCUCUUUUGUCAGGGAAGAAACACCGGCUCUAACACAGUCCGGGAAUGACGGUACCUGAAGAAUAAGCACCGGCUAACUACGUGCCAGCAGCCGCGGUAAUACGUAGGGUGCAAGCGUUAAUCGGAAUUACUGGGCGUAAAGCGUGCGCAGGCGGUUAUACAAGACAGGCGUGAAAUCCCCGGGCUUAACCUGGGAAUGGCGCCUGUGACUGUAUAGCUAGAGUGUGUCAGAGGGGGGUAGAAUUCCACGUGUAGCAGUGAAAUGCGUAGAUAUGUGGAGGAAUACCAAUGGCGAAGGCAGCCCCCUGGGAUAACACUGACGCUCAUGCACGAAAGCGUGGGGAGCAAACCAGGAUUA
rnacentral:rRNA from 1 species